GAGCUCAGUGCGCAUAUAUGUGUGUGUGUGUGUGUGUGUGUUUUUGACAAGUGGGCAGAAGAGAGAUAGUGAAAGAGGAAGCAGACGUGUUGUAGAUGCGACCGGAGCAGAGUUAGUGGUUAUUCAUGC